GUUGGGGAGAGAGAGGAAAAAAAAAAAUCACAAUGAGAGCGCUGCGCUCUGCGCUGACUUCAUUCUUAAUUUUUUUUUCCUCUCCUCCUUUUUUUUUUUUUUUUCCUUUUCUUCCUUCCCCCUCCUUUUUUUUUUGGUUUUUUAGCGUGUUGUUGUUUUUUUUGUUGUUUUUUUUUUUUUUUUGUAUUUGUGGCAGCGACUUUCAGAUUUCCUCCAGCUCCGAGGAAAAACCACCCGCACGACAAACGACCCUGGGGAGCAGCGCGAACCCCAAAGCCCCGCGGAAACUCCGCCAAACCACCGCGCUCGCCUCGACACGACCAAACUGGCACCGCGUUCUGCCAGGGGGAGGGAAAAACAACCCCAAAACAACACCCGAACCAACAAAACGGAACGCGACAACCGCCCACAAAGGGCUCGGUGCUCGUCCGAGGCAGCGGCUGCGAGCCCUUCCUCGCACGUCUGCUGUCUCCAGGAAUAACCCCAGCGCAAGCACGGAGGGAGAGAGGGGAGAGAGCCCAGCCGCACCUCCAGAGCCCCGAAAAUCAAUUAUUUCCCCGGAUAUUCGCCCAAUCUCCGGAAAAAAGCAGCGAGAUCUCGGAUGGAUCGGCUGCGCCAAAGAAAACGAGAGAAAUUUGGGUGACAAAUCGGGGUAAAAGGAUAUUUCACCACCUUUAUUUCAAAGCCCUUCCAAAAAAUGUGAGGUUUUUUUGUUUGUUUUUAAUGAGCCGAAGAGGGAGGCACCCAACGCGCUGUAGGUUGUUGGAGAUCUCCUUUUUAUUUCGAAGAAUAAUAAUCACAGACCAAGGAAAAUAACAAUAAUAAUAAUAAUUAUUAAUAACAAAAAAGCAACGCGCCGCCAUUAAAUAAUCUGCUACUUUGAUAUACAACAUUUGACGUAGCACAAUAUUAAUUCCUCUGCUUUUUUCCGUCUUUUUUUUUUUUUUUAAUUUUUUUUUUCCCUUUUUUUUCCCCCCGUAGAGGCUCGAACAACGAAGGUAAAAAUAUCCACAGACAAAAGAGCACCGCGAGGAGAAAAGAACCACAGAGGUUACGGGGAGGAAGGAGGAAUAAUAAUUCAUAUUCUGUACAGGACUCUACGCUCUAAAUGUAAUUUGCAUUCAGGCUUUCGGGUCACAUUUUCUAAAUUAAAGGUGCUAAACACGACCACGUUA